AGGGCGGACUGACUAGACUACUCCCGCCCGGCGAAUAAAACUUGAACAUUAGCUCAUUAAUUGGCAACUUGCAUAACUGACAGUUUGCCUUAAUUGCCUUUUUUUUUUAAACAGGACAAUGUGCUUUUAUGAUAUAAAGAUACAGUACGACAAUUUGUGUGGAUCUCUCCGAAUGGGAAACUGCCCCAAAAUAUGUCCUGAUUCAGUAAGGCAAUGUUUGCGCUAAGGAGGGACAAGAACUAAUCAGUAGGAUUUGAAACUUUGCAUGGUUGGAGUAUAAUCAGGUGAAGUUUGCAGAAGCUCCAUAUGUAAAUCUCUUUCGAGUAUUGUUGCUUCUGAACCAGUUGUGCAUGCAUAACACAACGUUCGAUCAGUAUGCGCUACUCAAAAAAGACGUACACACGGCACUAACCUCACCUGCAGCCAAUUUCAUGAAACUUUACGCAACUGUGUAAGUCCACUUGUGCAACAAUUAUGGCGCAAUGCUGAAGAACCAAUCAGAAGAAACAUCAGCCAUCAAUGCUCAUCAUCUCUGAAUUUUGAUAACAAAUUUAUAAAAACAAAUGUCCAUCCUCAAAGCAAGCGUAAACGGAAACAAACUAUAAUGAAUUAUAAUUUGAAAAUAACUCAUGAUGUCAGAUUUCACCAAUAAAUUAAUUGUUCAUGUUUACAUCGUUGUAGUUUUAAUAAACUUAUUGGGACUCAUUCAUUGAUGAAAUCAGAGAGAUAACACACAAGGCUAUGUAUAUCAGGAAUGCUAUCUUUGCAACGCACAUACUGUAAUGUUUUGAACUAAACAAAACUAGAGAAAAAUUGUUACACUGAAGCAAUUAUUUGUGAAUAAAAUAUUAGUUAUUCAAUGGACAUAUUAAACAAUGUUUGAUCAGUUGUGUUUCAUGUUUUUGUUUUUGAUGGGAUAAGACUUUAUUAUUUUUGAAGCAUUGUGUCGAAAUUGUUAGGUGUGGCAUAACAAAACUGUUCAAUGGUAUUGGGUAUUUGGAAAUACAAUGAAAAGCUUAGUUUGAGUAAGCUGCAUUUUUUACUUAUAAAGUUAAAGCCAUUGGACACUUUCGGUAAACAGUAUUGUCCAAGGCCCACAC